rnacentral:rRNA from 1 species
GUUGGAUGUGAAAUCCCCCGGGCUCAACCUGGGAACUGCAUUCAAAACUGACUGACUAGAGUAUGGUAGAGGGUGGUGAAUUCCUGUGUAGCGGUGAAAUGCGUAGAUAUAGGAAGGAACACCAGUGGCGAAGGCGACACCUGGACUGAUACUGACACUGAGGUGCGAAAGCGUGGGGAGCAAACAGGAUUAGAUACCCCUGGUAG